rnacentral:tRNA from 1 species
UUCAUUGUGGCUGAGUGGGUAAAGUGCAUGCUUUGCAAGCCUGUGACCAACCCUAUGUUAGAUCCUUAGCACUGAAU